UACAGAGGUCUCAAGCGUUGUUCGGAAUCACUGGGCGUAAAGGGUGCGUAGGCGGUCGGGUAAGUCUGGCGUGAAAUCUCCAAGCCUAACUUGGAAACUGCGUUGGAUACUAUCCGGCUCGAGGAAUGGAGGGGAGACUGGAAUACUUGGUGUAGCAGUGAAAUGCGUAGAUAUCAAGUGGAACACCAGUGGCGAAGGCGAGUCUCUGGACAUUUCCUGACGCUGAGGCACGAAAGCCAGGGGAGCAAACGGG
rnacentral:rRNA from 1 species